rnacentral:rRNA from 1 species
UUGACCUCAAAUCAGGUAGGACUACCCGCUGAACUUAAGCAUAUCAAUAAGCGGAGGAAAAGAAACUAACAAGGAUUCCCCUAGUAACUGCGAGUGAAGCGGGAAAAGCUCAAAUUUAAAAUCUGGCAGUCUCUGGCUGUCCG